AUUGAACGCUGGCGGCAUGCCUUACACAUGCAAGUCGAACGGUAACGCGGGGCAACCUGGCGACGAGUGGCGAACGGGUGAGUAAUGUAUCGGAACGUGCCCAGUUGUGGGGGAUAACUGCUCGAAAGAGCAGCUAAUACCGCAUACGACCUGAGGGUGAAAGCGGGGGAUCGCAAGACCUCGCGCAAUUGGAGCGGCCGAUAUCAGAUUAGGUAGUUGGUGAGGGAAAGGCUCACCAAGCCGACGAUCUGUAGCUGGUCUGAGAGGACGACCAGCCACACUGGGACUGAGACACGGCCCAGACUCCUACGGGAGGCAGCAGUGGGGAAUUUUGGACAAUGGACGCAAAUCUGAUCCAGCCAUGCCGCGUGCGGGAAGAAGGCCUUCGGGUUGUAAACCGCUUUUGUCAGGGAAGAAACGCUCUGGGUUAAUACCUCGGGGUAAUGACGGUACCUGAAGAAUAAGCACCGGCUAACUACGUGCCAGCCGCCGCAGUAAUAC
rnacentral:rRNA from 1 species